CUUGGGUCUGGCUGGCCGGUCCGCCUCACCGCGAGUACUGGUCCGGCUGGACCUUUCCUUCUGGGGAACCUCAUGGCCUUCACUGGCUGUGGGGGGAACCAGGACUUUUACUGUGAAAAAAUUAGAGUGUUCAAAGCAGGCCUUUGCUCGAAUACAUUAGCAUGGAAUAAUAGAAUAGGACGUGCGGUUCUAUUUUGUUGGUUUCUAGGACCGCCGUAAUGAUUAAUAGGGAUAGUCGGGGGCGUCAGUAUUCAGCUGUCAGAGGUGAAAUUCUUGGAUUUGCUGAAGACUAACUACUGCGAAAGCAUUCGCCAAGGAUGUUUUCAUUAAUCAGGGAACGAAAGUUAGGGGAUCGAAGACGAUCAGAUACCGUCGUAGUCUUAACCAUAAACUAUGCCGACUAGGGAUCGGGCGGUGUNUCUAUGAUGACCCGCUCGGCACCUUACGAGAAAUCAAAGUUUUUGGGUUCUGGGGGGAGUAUGGUCGCAAGGCUGAAACUUAAAGAAAUUGACGGAAGG
rnacentral:rRNA from 1 species